AGAGUUGGUGAAUCGCACUAUCUACUAGUAAAGUAAUGCAGCCGCCCGCCGCGCGCGGGGACGUCGGUAGCAAGCCCGUGUAAUGCAGAGUUUUCU
rnacentral:ribozyme from 1 species